rnacentral:rRNA from 1 species
AUUCCAGCUCCAAUAGCAUAUAUUAAAGUUGUUGCAGUUAAAAAGCUCGUAGUUGGAUUUCUGGCAUGAUGCGCCUGGCCCGCCGUGAUUACGCGUGUGUGUGCUAGUGCGCGUCUGCCAUCCAUUGGCAGAAUAUGUCUACCCUUAAUUGGGCCGGAUAUGUGAUGUCAAUCUUUUACUUUGAAAAAAUUAGAGUGUAUAAAGCAGGCAUUUGCUAUGAAUACAUUAGCAUGGAAUAAUAAUCUAGGACUUCGGUUCUAUUUUGUUGGUUUCUAGAUCUGGAGUAAUGAUUGAUAGGGAUAGUUGGGGGUGCUAGUAUUAAGGGGCCAGAGGUGAAAUUCUUGGAUUCUCUUAAGACUAACUUAUGCGAAAGCAUUCACCAAGGAUGCCUUCAUUA